rnacentral:lncRNA from 1 species
UGAGUCAAUUCAUUCUUCAGCCUCUACUCUCGGAACCUUUUUUGUUAUAACUUAAUUUUAGCAUGACUAAGCUUAUAGAAGCUUAGGAUUUUGUGGUAAAUUUUUCCUCACUCAUUGCUGCAGGGUAAGAGGAGCAAAUUAGGAUUUUGUGGAAUAAUUGAUAUCAUAAUUGAAUAUGAGAUGCAAAGUCAAUAAUUGCAAGCUUUAGAUAGGUUAUGUUAAAACAUAGAUAGGAUGCUUUUAAAGAUCCAGGAGGCAAUGGUAAAGUUUAAGGAAAGAUACACAACACUCCUUAAGGCAUUGAAGAAGUUCAGGUUUUAUGUAGAACAUAGAUGGCUAACUUAUAACCAGGCUUGUAGCAAUGAUAGCAAUAGAUACCGAAUCAUUAAAGCAUGCUGAAGUAGUCUAACGCCUUCUGAGAGAUAGUGCAGCAGCUGCAAGUUCAGUUACAGACAGAAAAGGCAACUCUUAUUGAGAAAUGAAUUGGCAUGGAAUAUUUCAUGCUCGCCGCCCUCUGAAAUUUCUUUUAGAAACUAAAAAUGGCAACUUUAAUCUGUGAAAAAACAAUAACCAACCAGAGUCAAAUUCGCUCUUUCAGCUACAAAGAAUAAAAACUCAUUCUUUAUAACCUUUAUUUUUUUUAAUCUUAAUCAAUUUUAACAUGUUCUAAGCUUAUAGAUGCAAUAUCAUUGAAUGCUGAGCAAUUUCAACCCGUUGCCCCGUGUGCUUGUUUUUCCUCAUCCUCUUUGUCAACAUGAGAGGCAUGAGAAGUAAGAAAGACCUUUUUUCUUGUUAUCAAAUCUUGCUGAGAGGUCGGUUUGUCCAUCUCACUCUAGGAGCAGCUUUUCCAUUCAACCAUAAAAAAAGAGGAAAAAGGAUUGUUUCCAUUGAGCUCUGCAGCAAAGAAAUGCUGCCAAAACAGUUGACAAAAUUGCGUGAAUAGAAUGGAGGGAAAGGAAAUUUGGAAGCUCGCUUGUCUUCCUGCUCGUACAAUUUAUCCUGCAAUGCUCCUCCUAUCAUUGUCUUGAUGAAUAAUUAGAUUUAGUAUGAAACUGGCAUGUUUUAGUAAAUGUAUGUUCUUAGUUAUUGUUUUUCAUUUUUUAUUCCAUAUUCAUGCGUGCAUACGAUGUCCUGUGAUCUCCCACUUGCUGUGAAAAGCUGACGGUCACUUGAUUGUUUGUUCACCUCCUGUUUGCAGAUUUACAGCCAUAACGCAGUUAGCACACCAUGGUAUGCUAUUUGUUCCUCUGGGGUACACCUUCGGCAGUGGCAUGUUUG